rnacentral:rRNA from 1 species
GUGCCAGCAGCCGCGGUAAUACAGAGGUGGCAAGCGUUGUUCGGAAUUACAGGGCGUAAAGGGCGCGUAGGUGGCCUUGUUAGUCGGACGUGAAAUCCCCAAGCUUAACUUGGGAACUGCGUCCGAUACUGCAAGGCUUGAGUUCGGGAGAGGGAUGUGGAAUUCCAGGUGUAGCGGUGAAAUGCGUAGAUAUCUGGAGGAACACCGGUGGCGAAGGCGGCAUCCUGGACCGAAACUGACACUGAGGCGCGAAAGCUAGGGGAGCAAACGGGAUUAGAUACCCCGGUAGUCCUAGCCCUAAACGAUGAGUGCUUGGUGUGGCGGGUAUCGAUCCCUGCCGUGCCGAAGCUAACGCAUUAAGCACUCCGCCUGGGGAGUACGGUCGCAAGGCUGAA